CACUCUGUUUAAUGAAACCCUAAUCCCCCGGGUUUGGAGCCUAUUUAAGGGCACUUAUAGCCUCCCAUUGCGGCUACCAGUCCCUUGAGAGAACCCUAAGUGAGCUAAAUCAUUUGUGAGGAAGGAGAAGCCAUAUUUGAUCUUUCUAUCUUUGGUUUAGCAAGAAGAAGGUGAUCAAGAGCAAGAGAAGACUGAAGGAGGUGCGGUUCUAGGGGUUUCAAAGUUUAGAGACUUCAUCUUGAGGUAUUUAUUCGGACCUUCUUCAGUCUUGGUGUUGAUUCUUAGAGUUAGGGUUUCCUAGCCCUUUUGAGGAUGGUUAUGUGGAGCAAUUGGUCCCUUCUCGAGUUUAUGCUUUGGAUCUGGACUCAAAGAGGUCCAGAGACCUUAACCCUUGGAGCUUUAUGAGUUAUUUUGGGAGUUAUGAACUUAGAAUGUCAUUUUUGGGGCUAAAUCACCAAAUGUUACCAUCUAGAUGAUAUAUGAGUGUCAAGGUCUGGACUUUACGUGAUUAUUACGCUUGGGAAGGCCAGAUCUGUGGAUUAGAGGAACAAAUCUGACCUCAGGAGGUCAAUGGAGUUUGUGCAUGGCAUGUACUCGCCGAGUUGUUCUUGAGACUCGGCGAGUUGAGUCGGGGUGGCCCCCUGAUUCAUGCCUGGGGACUCGACGCGCCAAACAGGACUAAAGAGUUAGUGGACACGUGUGGACUCGCCGAGUCGCCAAUGUGCACUCGACGAGUCGGGUCAAAGUUGACCGUUGACUUUCGUUGACUUUUAGGGUUUGGUCAACAAUUGUACUUUUGGAUUAGAAAGGGGUAAAAUGGUCUUUUACCCUUCUGUGGAUUUUAGGAAGGGGUGUAGUCUAGCCUUGAGAGCUGUUAAUGACUUAAAUAAUUACCUUAUGUGAUUAGGCGGGGCUAGGUCGUUGUUUCGAGGUUCAGAGAUAUCGAGUUGUGACUUUCUGAGACAUUCCCGAGGUGAGUCUUCUCACUAUACAUUACCUAGGGUGGAAACCCUGAGCAGACCGGAGGGUCUUAUAUGUUAUGUGUUAUGUGCUAUUUGUGUAUAUGUUUUUGUGAUAUAUGUAUACUAUGUGAUAUAGACCGGAUCGGAGGGUCCAAUGAUAUAGACCGGGUCGGAGGGUCCAACGACACAGACUGGGUCGGAGGACCCAACGAUACGGAACUGGAGGGUUCCGCUGAGACACAUCCACCAGAGGGUCAUAUUGUAGCCUUGAGUGGCAUAUGUGUUGUAUGUGGUAUUUUGGGGAAACUCACUAAGCAUUUAUGCUUACCGUGUCGUGUGAAAUGCGUUUCAGGUACCAGCGAGGAUCGCAGGAAGGCGCCAGCUUGAUUGUACACAUUGUUGAAGUAUUACGAUCAUAUUCUGGGGAGAUGUUUUGAUUACUUAUAUUUUGAGAUGGAUGUUUAUGAUUUGAGAUACAUUUUGAUUUUAUUAUGAAUUAUGAAAUUUGAAAAAAAAAAUUGAAAAAAGUCGGUGUUACAAGUUGGUAUUAGAGCCUUGGUUUGAGGGAUUCGGAUUCACCUUCGGGUGUAUUUGAACUUAAACUGAGGAUUUGAGAAAAAAAUUUUAAGACCAACAAAUUUUCUAAAGUAAAGAAAUAUGAAAGAGAUGGAAAGAAACAGUGUGUACAAUCAGCAAGCGCCCGAACGGUGAUUUCCCAAAAUACCCUUAUGUUUUAUAUUAUGAGAUAUUAUGUAAUGAGUUAUGCAUGCUUGGGUAGGCUAGGUAAUCAUGAUAGGACUAGAGUGGCCUGAUUUGUGAUGCCUUAGCCUAGGAGAUUCCUGCUACUAAGAGAAUACUUGUGAGUGAGUAGGUAGCAAUAAGGAGCUUAUGAGGGGCUGAUUAGGGUAUAGCCUGUAUAUGGUAUGCUUGUGAUUUGGGAUUCUAGUAAGAAGACUGUGACUGAGUACUAAUACGAUGUGGAAGGUAGUAUAGGGCCCGUACUACUGGAAGCAUCGGAUUGGUAAUCAGUCCGAGUAAGAUUCCUUAGGAAACCAAAGAAUCAAGUAGGGUGAGUGAUCGAGUGUGAGUGAUCUCGAUCGAGUCUCUGAUUGUUUUGUGAUUUUAUUUCAGAGACAGCAUGGUGGUUUCGAGACGACAGGAUGGGGACAGUGGUACUAGUGAUAUUCGUGAUGAGGAGAUUCAGAGGAUCAUUCAGGAGGAGGUAGCUGCGGCUAUUCGGGCGGAGAUUCCCGAAAUGUUUGGGUCUAUUAAGACCACAUUGAUCGAGACGUUUGACGAGCGUUAUGCUGCUUUGACUGAUGUUGCCACAGCCACAGCCACUGCAGCUGUUGCUACUGCAAGACCCCAGGGUGGUGAUUCAUUGCUGUACCGAGAGUUCAGCAACAUGAAACCACCAGAGUUCGAUGGUACGCAGGAUCCAAUCAUUGGGAUGAGGUGGGUUUCAGACAUUGAGGGAUGUUUCUAUACGUGUUCGUGUCCGGAGCACUUGAGGGUUCAGUUCGCGUUGAACCAGCUUCGCUUAGGGGCGAAAGACUAGUGGAAGUUUGUGACGGCGGACUUUUCGAUGACAGAGUUGACUGCAGUGACUUGGGAGAAGUUCACUGCAAUGUUUCGUGAUGAGUAUGUUCCCCCGGUUGAGAGGGAAUGACUAGCCCAGGAAUUUCUGACCCUCAAGCAGGGGACUGAGUCAGUGACAGUCAUUACGAGGAUGUUCCAUGAGCGGGCGUUGUUUUGCCCUGAGCAGGUUUCUACCGAGCAGGCUCACAUGAGUCGUUAUCUGAGCAUACUGAGGAGGGAUAUCUAUGAGUUUGUGGCGAACUAAACUUACCGGACAUUCGCCGAACUCCAGGAAAAUGCCCGGAAGAGGGAGAUCGAGCUAGAGACUCAGGCGAGGGAGGAGGCUGAGUCCCAGAAGGGUGAUCGGCGACCGGCACAGUCGCAGCCGGCCGCCAAGCGGGCAAAGCUCGCUGAUUCGAGGACUGGUGGUCCGAAGGGCCGUACUUGUGGGAAGUACAGCAAGAGCCAUGAAUGGGCGUGCAAGAUGGGGGUGGGUUACAAGUGUGGGAAGGAAGGUCACUAUGCAAGGGAUUGCCCUAAGGGGUUCUCGGUUUGCUUUCAUUGCAACCAGACCGGCCAUCGAAAGGCCGAGUGCCCCCAGCUUCAGAAACCAGUAUGGGGAUCCGCACCUGCUACUAGAGUUACCGAUUCCCAACCAGCGAAGGCUAAAGCACCGAAGGCUAGAGGGAGAGCCUUCCAACUGACUGCGGAGGAGGUCCGUGCAGCGCCUGACAUCGUGGCUGGUAUGUAUUCUUUCAUUUAUUUUUGCUGAGAUUAUGUUAUUGUGCUUAUGUUAUGAUAUGCGUAGGUACUUUUCUCGUGAGUUCUGUACCUGCCUUGGUGUUGUUUGACUCGGGUGCGAGUCGGUCCUUUGUAUCUUUAGCUUUUAUUCAGCAUAUCAGUAUUUCGAGAGAGGCGUUGAGUCGACCUCUACGAGUUUCCAUAGCUGAGGAACGAGCAGUACAUGCUACCGAUGUGAUCCGUGGGUGUGUACCUGAGAUCUUCGGGGUGAAGUUUCCGAUAGACUUGAUUCCGAUUCCUAUGGGGGAUGUUUGUGUCAUUAUAGGCAUAGACUGGUUGAGUAGAUUUGGGGCGGUUAUCGACUGCGAGUGACAGUUGGUGAUCAUUCGGAACCCUAGUGAGGGAGAGCUUACAGUGUAUGGCGAGGGUACGCGAUCGGGGUCGCCAUUUUGUUCAGCCACUAGAGCAAGACUGAGCCUACAGCAGGGCUGUCAGGGAUUUGUAGCAUAUGUGAUGGACACGAGGAUGGAUUCAGAGAGACUGAGGUCGAUUGAUGAGGUUCCGAUAGUGCGCGAAUUCCCAGAUGUGUUUCCGGAAGAGUUGCCGGGUGUGCCUCCCGAGAGGCAGGUAGAUUUCAGUAUCGAUUUGGUUCUGGGGGCUGCGCCUAUCGCCUUGCGCCUCCAGAGAUGCAGGAGUUAUCCUCGCAGAUUCAGGAGCUGUUGGGGAAGGGUUUUAUUCGGCCGAGUAGUUCCCCGUGGGGAGCUCCUAUCCUUUUUGUAAAGAAAAAGGAUGGUUCACACCGGAUGUGCAUUGAUUACCGGGAGUUGAAAAACUUGACGGUCAAGAACCAUUACCCGUUGCCGAGGAUCGACGAUUUGUUUGAUCAGCUGCAGGGAGCAUCUUGGUUCUCCACGAUCGAUUUGAGGUCUGGAUAUCAUCAGGUGAGGGUGCGAGAUGAGGAUAUAUAGAAGACAGCGUUCAGGACUCAUUACAGUCAUUAUGAGUUCGUGGUGAUACCUUUCGGGCUCACCAAUGCACCAGUGGUGUUCAUGGACCUCAUGAACAGGGUGGGCAGGCCGAUGUUAGAUCGCUCGGUGAUCGUAUUCAUCGACGACAUAUUGGUGUAUUUGAGAUCCAGAGAGAAGCAUGAGGAGCAUUUGAGAGAAAUCCUCGAGGUUUUGAGAUCGGAGAGGCUCUAUGCCAAAUUCUCCAAGUGCGAUUUCUGGUUACGAGAGGUCCAGUUCCUAGGGCAUCUCGUUAACCAGAAAGGGAUAUUGGUCGAUCCGGCCAAGAUUGAGGCGACGAUGAGUUGGGAGGUGCCAAGGUCACCUACAGAGAUCAGGAGUUUCCUCGGAUUGGCAGGCUAUUAUCAGAGAUUUAUCAGGGAUUUCUCCAAGAUCGUCGUGCCACUCACCAAGUUGACCCAGAAGGGUGUAGCUUUUUCAUGGUGCCAGAGCAUCAGGCCUCCUUCGAGACACUUCGCCAGAGAUUAUGCGAAGCCCCGGUGUUAGCCCUUCCGGAGGGAAUGGAGGAUUUUGUGGUGUAUUGUGACGCGUCGAUAUCAGGGUUGGGAGCAGUGCUUAUGCAGAGGGGCAUGUGAUAGCAUAUGCAUCGUGGCAGCUAAAGCCUCAUGAGGCGAGGUAUCUCACCCACGAUUUAGAAUUGGGGACAGUGGUUUUCACUCUCAAGAUCUGUCGUAACUAUCUGUAUGGGGUCCGGUGUACCAUAUACACGGAUCACAAGAGCCUGAAGUACUUGAUGGAUCAGCCCAACCUGAAUAUGCAGCAGAGGAGAUGGUUGGAUGUGGUAAAGGAUUAUGAUUGUGAAAUCCUGUACCACCUGGGUAAGGCUAACGUGGUAGCCGAUGCCCUAAGUCGUGGAUCCGAGAGCGUACCGAUACGAGACGUUUGCAUGAGAUUAACAAUGAUGACUCUGGUGUUGGACACCAUUCGAGGAGCCCGAGCGGAGACCGUGAGACCAGAAAACCAGAAUAGAGAGCGAGUUGUCGGGCAGGUAUCGGAGUUCGUUACCGAUGGCUGGGGGCUUAUGACAUUUCAGGGUCGGAUUUGGGUGUCGUUUGUGGGCGGGACGAGUACCAUUUUGAUGGAACAGGCACAUCGAUCGAAGUUCUCGAUCCAUCCCGGGGCCACUAAUAUGUAUUUGGACCUGAAAAGGGAUUAUUGGUGGCCCUGUAUGAAGAGGGACGUUGCAUGGUUCGUUGAUAGGUGCCUAACCUGUCGCCGGGUUAAGGCCGAGCACCAGAGACCGCAUGGUAAGUUGCAGCCAUUAGAGAUUCCCGAGUGGAAGUGGGAACGGAUUACUAUGGACUUUAUCACCAAAUUGCCAAGGACUGCGAGGGGCGUCGAUGCAAUUUGGGUGAUUGUAGACAGAUUGACGAAGAGUGCUCAUUUCCUUGCUAUCAGUGAGAGCUCUUCUGCAGAGAAGUUGACAGAGAUAUACGUGAGGGAGGUGGUGUCGCGGCAUGGAGUGUCGAUCUCGAUUGUCUCAGAUCGAGAUGUGCGUUUCACUUCCAGAUUCUGGAAGAAAUUUCAUGAGGAGUUGGGUACGAGGCUGCACUUUAGUACCGCAUACCACCCACAGACUGACGGGCAGAGCGAGCAGACGAUUCAGACGCUCGAGGACAUGCUCCGAGCAUGUGUGUUGGAUUUCGGCGGGAGUUGGGACACGUAUUUGCCCUUGGCAGAGUUUUCCUACAACAACAGCCAUCAUUUGAGCAUUGGUAUGCCAUCAUUUGAGCUGUUGUUUAGGAGGAGGUGUCGGACCCCCAUUUGCUGGGGAGAGGUGGGGCAACAUGUAAUGGGUAGUACAAAGAUCGUGCUUCAGAUGAUAGAGCAGAUACAGCAGGUCAGGCAAAGGUUGUUGACCGCUCAGAGUCGCCAGAAGAGUUAUGCGGACAGGCGCCAGUCCGAGCUCGAGUUUCAGGUCGACGAAUUCGUGCUCCUAAAGGUCUCUCCUUGGAAAGGAGUGUCUGAUUCAGGAAGAGGGGCAAGCUGGGGCCCCGAUAUAUUGGUCCUUUCAGGGUGAUCGUGCGGGUAGGCAAGGUAGCCUACCGCUUAGAGUUGCCUGCGGAGUUGAGUCAGAUCCACGAUACCUUCCACGUGUCCCAGUUGAGGAAGUGUAUCGUUGAUGAGUCGACAGUAGUUCCGUUAGAAGAUAUCCAGGUGGAUACGGGUCUGAAUUAUAUUGAGAAGCCGAUUGCGGUUCAAGAUCAGAGGGCAAAGAUUUUGAGGAACAAGGAAGUGCCUCUAGUGCAGGUCCAGUGGCAGCAUCGGAAAAGGUCGGAGCUGACUUGGGAGCCGGAGCGUGAGAUGCGUGAGCAGCACCCAGAGUUGUUUGUCGAGUAAGACUUCGAGGACGAAGUAUGAUUCUAGUGGGGGAGAAUUGUAACAUCCGGAUUCCCAGGUAUAUUAUUCUACUAUUUUAUUUUUGGAGUUUGUGGAGGAAUUCGGCGAGUUGGUGCUUAGACUCGCCGAGUAGGUUCGCGGAUUAUCAUCCGGCUUCGUGACUGGACUCGGCGAGUCCAUUAGUGGACUCGUCGAGUCCAUGUUGUUUAAUGAAACCCUAAUCCCCCGGGUUUGGAGCCUAUUUAAGGGCACUUAUAGCCUCCCAUUGCGGCUACCAGUCCCUUGAGAGAACCCUAAGUGAGCUAAAUCGUUUGUGAGGAAGGAGAAGCCAUAUUUGAUCUUUCUAUCUUUGGUUUAGCAAGAAGAAGGUGAUCAAGAGCAAGAGAAGACUAAAGGAGGUGCGAUUCUAGGGGUUUCAAAGUUCAUAGACUUCAUAUUGAGGUAUUUAUUCGGACCUUCUUCAGUUUUGCUGUUGAUUCUUAGAGUUAGGGUUUCCUAGCCCUUUUGAGGAUGGUUAUGUGGAGCAAUUGGUCCCUUCUCGAGUUUAUGCUUUGGAUCUGGACUCAAAGAGGUCCAGAGACCUUAACCCUUGGAGCUUUAUAAGUUAUUUUGGGAGUCAUGAACUUAGAAUGUCAUUAUUGGGGCUAAAUCACCAAAUGAUACCAUCUAGAUGAUAUAUAUGAGUGUCAAGGUCUAGACUUUACGUGAUUAUUAUGCUUGGGAAGGCUAGAUCUAUGGAUUAGGGGAACAUAUCUGACCUCAGGAGGUCAAUGGAGUUUGUGCAUGGCAUGUACUCGCCGAGUUGUUCUUGAGAC
rnacentral:lncRNA from 1 species